rnacentral:lncRNA from 1 species
CCACAUAUCAUUCUCAAAACUGAUUUGGAAGAGCUCUUCUUCUAAACAUAAAGCGUUCUUCUUCCCAAUUAUACCCACCAUUUUCAAGACUUUUGAAGCUGAGUUUUGACUUCCAAUUUUCUUUGUUUAGAAGAGGUAAGCGAAUUUUUUGUGUAAAUUCCUUCCUUUGACAUUUUUCUGUUAAGAGUUUUUUAAUUUCUUCCCCAAUUUUUGUCUAUGAAAUCUUAGGGUUAGGAAUGGCAAACAUCAAGUUGAAUUAGUUGUGCAUGGAUGAAAAUUGAUCCAACGCAUGCCGGUGGACGAUGCAAACAUGGGAUUUGUUGCAAACGCGAACUUUUUGGUCAGAUCGGAAUCCCGAAAGAUGAUUUUGGUCUUGUCCUCACUAUGAGGUAUGCUUUCAUGUUCUUAGCCUAUCGAUUAAUUUAAAAAUUAAUGUUGAUUGGGUCGUUAUUGUAUUCUUUAAAUUUUAGGCCAUGCAUUGCAAGUUUUUCAGAUGGAGAGAUAAGGAAAGAGUUGAUGAAAGAUUAAAUUUUAUUCUUACGAGAUUGGUAAACAAAAUCAAAUAGUUAGAAGAAAAUUACGAACGUCUUAAGCUGCAUUUGACAAGCUUGAAGAUUCAAAAUGGAAUGUUAAUUAGAAAGGGAAUAGUAUGAAGGAAAAAAUAGAAGAAACUUGUGUAGAAAAUUUAUUUAGUUUUUUAUGGUUUGUGUAACUAUUGUUUAUGUUACCAGCUUAAUCCAAGUUGGCAACUUGAAGGAAAAUCAAAUGGAGUUUCCAUAGUAGCUGAUUGUUGUAGUAAUAUAAGAUCAUUUUGGUAUUGAUGUCGGAUAGGGUAAGGUAGAUGUGGUUUGGUUGUCUACUUCAUUUUGUAUUGUAAUGAAACAUUAUUUUGAUAUUAUAAUGAAACAUUAUUUUGGUACUGUAUAAUAAUGGAUCAUUAUUGUGGUACCAUGGUAUCAUUUUCUGUGGAAAAAUAUUCUCUUGUUACCGUUUAAGCAAAUGUUGGCAGAAAAACAAGAAGCCUCUUGGCAACAGUUUCAUAACCCGAAUUUCCCACCUACAGGACUCAUGAUGGUGCCUAUUAAUGGGAUCUAGACAAGCCAAACUUAAAUACUUUUUCGUUAAUAACAUAAUCCCUUUUAACAAUUAUCAGCAAUAAUAUAAAAGCAACAUAGUUAAUUAAAUAAGCGGAAGUCUUAAAUUUAAGAAAACUGAAUUGAAAUGCAGAAAAUUCAACAUAAGUCUCUACCCAAGACUGGUGUCACAAUACUCACGAACUACCAAGAGUGCUAAAUACAACGUUUGAAAGAAAAUAUAAACUGUAUGUCAUGAAUACAUGGGAUAACUGACUGAAAUAAAAAAUAAAGGAGACGCCGUGCCCGCGGAUGCCUGCAAAGCUACCUUGGUAUCUCAUGGACUGAAGGCUCUCUCUCAGACUACUGCUGCGCUCCGAAUGCUGCUCUAGUAUCUGCACAUAGGUGCAAAGUGUAGCAUCAGCACAAUUGACCCCAUGUUCUGUUAAGUGUUUGGCAUAAUCCUGGCGAGGUAGUGACUAGGCUAGGACCAGACUACCAAUCAACAUGUGCAGUUCAAUAUAUACAUAUGCGACGGAAUAGAAGUACAGAAAAUAAUCUUUCAAAGAGGGAGGGGAACAUGCUGUGGGAAAGUAACAGUUCAGAAAUAGAAACACCAAAUAAGAAAUGAAACUGUACAACUAGAAUAUCAACAAGAGUAAGAAAUCAACAGUUGCACGGCAUCACCCUUCGUGAUUUUACUCUCGUUCUCACCAAAUCAAUCUUAUAAGGUACAUGACAUCACCCUUUGUGUUUUUACUCACUUUCCUUUCCAUAUAAUCAAUGAAUAUCGGUACGGAAUGGUACAUCGUACGGUAUGGCAUUACCUUUCAUGCUUUACACUCUUUCCUCAUCGUGAAAUUAAUAUAAUAGGCACGUAAUGGUACAUCGUGCAUCACCCUUCGUGCUUUUACACUUUUCCUCGCCCAAAUAACAAUCACAAACAAGGGGACAAGGGAGUAGCAAACAACAAUAGAAAUCCUGGCAAGGGAACACAAGUGAAUAGUUAAAUCCCGGCAAGGGAACAACAUCAAUAACCUUAACAUCCCAGCAAGGGAGAUAAUCAAUAAACAAGAAUAACCCGGCAAGGGUACCAUUUAGAUAUUCUUCCUCUUUCUUUCACUCUCAUUUCAUAAUUCACAUUACCACUUGAGCCAAUGCUUCAAAUGGUACAAUAGUUCAUAUACUUUCUCAGUUAGUAGAAUAACUUGAGCCAAUUCUCCCCGACGUUUGAAAGUCAUAAUCCUUUCCACAAAUGUUUCGCAACACCUAGAAAUCAUCUCUAAGGCAUGAAAUAUAUAACAUGAAUAAAGAUAUUCACAAUUUAUAAACUCACAGUCAUGCUAAACACCUACGUAUAGAUACUCUUCACCAUAUCUAUACGUCGUACUCAACAUAAAACAAGUAGCAAAUAUGACUCAACUCCUAAUCCCUCAAGCUAGAGUUAGACCGGACACUUACCUCAAUGCCUCGAACAUAACUCAAGUCUCAAUUAUAGCUUUACCCCUUGAUUCCACCAAAAAUCCGCUCGAAUCUAGUAAGAAGUUACUUAAUUUCAUCAAUAGACGCUAAACGAAUCAAUUAGAAUGCAUAAAAAUGAAUUUCCUAAAGUUUUGCCCAAAACGUCCAAAAAUGCCCCCAAACCUACGUGGUCAAAACCCGAGGUUUGAACCAAAACCCAAUUACCCUUUCCCCCACGAACCCAUAUAUGUGAUUUGUUUUGAAACCGGACCUCAAAUUGAGGUCCAAAUCCCCUAUUUAUGGAAAACCUAAGUUCUACCCAAAAACCCCCAAUUUCUCCCAUGAAAAUUUUUGAAUUUAGGUUGAAAAUAUGUUAAAGAUUCAAAUAAAUGAGUAAAAACUAACUUACAAUUGAUUUGGAAAAGAAAUGAUUCUUGGAAAAUCGCCUAAAUGUGUUUGAGUUUGAGAACAUAUGAAAAAUGGGGUUCAGAAUUGGUUAAGUGUUAAAAAUGCAGGUUUUAGACGUGGGAAAUACGAACAGGGGUUCGUAAUUGCAAACCCCGACAUGCUAACAUAGGAAAUGAGAGACUGGGUUCACAUUUGCGAACCCUUUAGGAUUUCGGGACCUUCGCAUUUGCGAAGUGAAGGCUGCAUUUGCGACAGGACGGACAUUGCAUUUGCGAAGAUGUGCUGGCCUGGGCUUACUUCGCAAUUGUGAAUGGCCACUCGCAUUAUGCGAAGCCUACAAACCUGCUAUGCUCAGCUGCAAAUUUUUGCUACAUUCUAAGUUCCAAAUGCACUCGUGGCCUAUCCAAAACUCACCCGAGCCCUCGGGGCUCCAAACCAAACAUGCACACAACCUCAAAAAUAUCAUACGGACUUAUUCGUGUGAUCAAAUUACCAAAAUGACAUCAUAUACAUCACAUUAAGCCUCAAAAUUCAUGAAUUCUUCUAAAUUUCAUAAAAUAUCGAAUUUUCCAUUUUAAGUCUAAGACACGUCAAACGACGUCCGUUUUUAACCAACCUUUACAAAAAGUUCUUAAAUUAUAUAUAUGACAUGUACUAGGCAGGGCUAUCAUUUUCUAGUCAGAUUUCAUUUUCAAUUUCCUUAACUGUUUUUCAAAAAAUAAUUUUACUCAAAAAUUCAUUUCUCGGGAUUAGAACCUCGGAAUUUGAUUUCGGGCAUAUACUCAAGUCCCAUAUUUUCCUACGGACUCUCCAGAAUCGUAAAAUCACGAGUUAGGGUCCAUUUAUCCAAAAUAUUGACCGGAGUCAAAAUUAUUUAUUUUAACAUUAAAAUUUAGUAUUUUUCAUAGAAUUUCAUAUUUAAGCUUAUCGGUUGCGCAUCCAGACUAGCACGUAAAUUGAGGCAAUUAUAAAUAAGGUUUUUAAGACCUCAAAGACACAGAAUUUAAUUAGAAACAGGUGAUGAACCUUUGGGUCGUCACAAACAGCAGGUUAGCACAUUGUCCACGACUUUAGAAUAUCCAAACUAAUUGCAUGGGAAGAAAACUAUUAUAAUUUCCAACAAAUUACUUCAAUGGUACAUUUGAAUACCAAUAAUCUAAUAACAAAACAAAUGUUUCCAACAUAACACUUUGAGUACCAUUUCAUACACUACACUCAACACAAAAAUGGUACAUUUGAAUAUCAAUACUCCACAAUUCUAACAACACUUCAAAAAUUCCAUCAACUUCAUAACAACAAAACACCAUUCUAGGUAAAACUAAAAAUAAUAGGGCCAUAUCAACACUAUAAUUUCCAUUUUUGGGGCUGUGAAUCAGCAUUCCUUGAUUUAUCUCUAAUUUCUUGAAGUCUUCUUGUUGUAAUUGCUUGUUUUCCUUUCCACUUCAGUCCAUUAGUUGGUUUGAAACCAAUAUCACCAGUAAUAUCAGCUGAUCUUGUUAUCGCUGUUGAUGAUCUAGUGGAUAUUAUUCUGCUAGCCCAGGCUAUACAAAAAAUAGUUUAAUUAGUUUAAGGUACAUUUAGAUAAUAGCAGAACUGAUUGCAUUAAUACUUACAUUAAUAGUUUUGAAGCCAUUCUCAGAUGGAACACACCAUUCUCAUCAGUCUUGGCCUUUUAUAUAGUGUUGAGCUCCCAACACCCCUUCCCCUUCCUUUGGUAGCAGUAGAUGAACUAGGUGCAACAGAUACGAUAUCAGAUGCAUUUAGAGUUGAACAUGAAAACCAACUUUCAAGUGAAUGAUGUAUUGUUGCUCUUCCUUCCCCUCCUCCCCUUCCUCUUCUUCUUCUUCUCCUGCCUUCAGUGAAUUGUUGAUGAAAUUCCAAUAGUAGCAAAAGUAUUAGUUGUUGUAUUAUGAGCUUAAGAACUAGGAGCAGAGCACGUAAACCAACUGUCAAGUGAAGAAGUUGAUGAAAAUUCAGCACCAACAUAUGCAGUAGGUGUAGUAUUAGGUGCAUUAACGACAGAUACAUUAGUUUAUUUUCCUUGGUCUACAUCUUCAUCUUUUUACCGUAGGUUCACCUUCAUUAGUAGCUGAUUUAUGAAGAGAAAAAAAACAUGUUAAAUAGUGAACUAAAUUUAAAAGAUAUUGAUACAAAAUAGAAUAUUACCUUUGGUCUUCCUCUUCCCUUUCCUGAAACUGAUUGUUUUACAGCAGUUGUUGAUGAACUAGCACCAAGUCUAUCACUAUCUGGACACCCUCUUUUGUUGUGACCCCUCUCAUGACAGGGGCUACAUGUUAUUGCUAUACUAGUUUUAGGAAAUUUACCAGAGUUCUUAGUUUUAUUUGCCUCUUUCCUUCUAAGCUUUUUUUGUCUUCCAGGCAUGCCCUUGACAACUGGUAGUGCAAAAAAAGAUUGGUAUAUUCAGGCCACAUUGACAUAUACUCACUGGUUGAUUGAAAUUAGAAUAAGUUAACAAGUAUAUCUCCUUUUUGUAGCAACUAUCAAUGAAGUCAGUUGGUUCAACAUUGUCAUAAUACAUUGCACAUAUGGCAUAUGGACAUGGUAUCCCCCUUUAGCAUUCAAGAUCUGUAACAACAAAGCUUAUUUCUAAGACAUGUUUACCAUCACUUACUUCAUAUCAUGUUUGUCCAUUAAACUUAAUGGUACAUCUCAUUAAUUUUUCAAUAUUGUCCCCCAAUAUCUUUAAGGCCAUUGGAGAGAUGUUGGUGCUUCAUGUGUUUGCAAAUGCCCUUAACUUUCCUAUUCUGGUCAUCAUCUUGAUUCUAAUCUCUUCAAGCAUGCUAAUAAUAGGCUUUUGCCUUGCUGCCAAGAUCCAGGCAUUAGAACUCUCUAACAUGCUUCAUCCACUGCAUCACACUUCAAUUCACAGUUAAAUUACACCUUGCACCAAUACUCCUUGUUAUAAUAUAGUAGAUUAUCCAUUUUGUUCUUACCAAGCAUUAACGGUGUUUUCAGUUUUUUUAAAAAAAAUUCAGCUUCGUAUGUGCUUAUGGAAAAAAUCUAGAAUAAGUUCCUCCUUUGAAGCCCUCUCUAUUUUUUUGACCAAUAAGCUAAGAUGUGCAUAACACACAUCCUUUGUUCACAAGCUUGAAAGAAUUCUUUAAUUGCUGAAUCCAAUCUUUGUAAAUUACAGUUACAUGAAAAACAAAAAAUGAAUGAUAAGUCAGUUUCAAAGAAAGAAAGUGAAGCUAAUGAAACACAAAGUUACAAUUGCUGAAAUAUACCUUAUGCGUGUCAAUGAUCGAAGUGAAGCUUGUGCUAUCACCUAAUCCAAAAUCUUCCUUCGGCAAAGUUAAGACCCAUGACCAUUUAGUUUUCUUCUCAUAUUAAACUACUACACAAGUAAGUGGAAGCAUUUGGUUAUUACCAUCCUUAUCCACAACAACUAGUAGUUGCCCCCUACUUACACCCUUCAGAAAACAACCAUCCAAGCCUAUGCAUUUCUACCCCACAAGAAUUCAUUUUUAGUGCCUCAAACAUUUGUAGAAACUUACAAAUACUUGUCUACCAAGUUCAUCAGGUUCACGAAGCUUCACAACACAAGUUCUCUCAGGGUUGGUCCUUAACAACUCAUCCCUGUAAUCAAGAAUUCUACCAAACUUCACAUUAUGAUCACCUAUUAUUUGCUGCAAUACUUUAGCUCCUUCUCUCCUGAUUGUGGUCUUACCAACAUGAGCUUUGAAUUUCUUCCUAAUUAAUUCUUGCAACUUGAAUACUCUUAUAUUUGGUUGUUCAGUUAUUUUAUCUUUUAAAGACAUUGGCCAAGAAUUUAGAAUUGCAUAAGUAAUUUCCAGAGGCCCUCUCACAAUUGUGAAAUGAAUUGUAAGUCCUUGUAAUAAAAUUAUUAAUUACACUAUCCAAGCUUGCAAACAAAAGCCAACCGCAGUUAUCCUUGGUGCACCUUACCCUGGCUCUAAUUGUAUUCUUUUCAAUAAGAACUCUUUUUACAGUGCAUACCUAGUUACUACAUCUCUAAAGUCACUAACACUCUCAAAGAUCAUACCCAACUGCAAUACAAUCUUUUUUCAUAUUUGUCAAACUUCACACUCUUUAUAGAUUUAGAUAUCCUUUUUGUUAGUUUUACUUCAUGCCUUCCCCAUUUUCAUUCCAAUAUUCAGCUUCAUCAGUGUUAAAGCUACAAGCAUCAGAACUUGGAUAAUAUGGUUCAUCGCCACCUAGCCUUCCUUAUGCACUUUUUUUUACCUAUUUCAAUCUCAUCAAAACCAAGCUCUGGCCAUGCAUCGCCACAUGGUACAUCUUUAGCAUCAACAACAACUUUCUACUUUCUUUUUCUCCUUUAAAAUGACCUACUAUCCUUCCUAAUAUCUAUGGAUUCUUCAUGUACAUCACUUCCAUAAUCAUACCUCCAAAGAAGUCACUGUCUUCAGAAUUAUCACUAUCUUCAGUUGAUUCAUUAGAUCCAUCGUCGCUUGGAAAAUCUUUAGUUGGAGAAGAUUCUUGAUUUGAAAAAGCAGUUUCUUGUGUAUGUUGGAUGAACAAUUGGAUAUGCAGGAGCAACUAUAUUUGGAGGAGCAACAACAUUGAUUGAAGGAGAAGCACCAGUGUUUGAAGGAACAUCAAUGUUUGGAAGAUCAGCAGAACCAUUAAAAGCAGUCCCUUUACUAAAAGCUUAGCAAGAUUCGUCCUCAGGCAUGUGCACAUAUAAGUGGCCGAAAACUAUUUUACAACUUGAGUUGUACCCUAGUUCUUUACUAUAAUCCUUCAACUCAAAAUAGGAGAGGGUAUCCACAUCAGCAUCCAAAUAUUCACUCAUUACUCGACCAAAAUAUUUGGUUUCUCAUUUACAAACUCUAAGACCCCACCAUUAUAUAAUUUUAAAGUGAUUAAAGCAAAUCCAGUAAUACCUAUGUGCAAACAAAGCAAAAAAAAAUCGAUAAAACCAAAUUCAGUAGAAUUUGACAAACAAUAGAUACAAGUAUUAGAAAAAUAUUUAUUUGCAAAAAACCUGAACUUUUCACUAAACCGAUGUACAAUCAAAUCUCUGAGGUUAACAUGUACACAUUAAACCUCAAAUUUAAUCUGCCAAUCACAAAAUUGCAGGGGAUAAAAACAUUUAAAAUUCCCAAACUAACACAAAAAUAAUCAAAUACAGUAACAAACUAACUUUUGCUCUUGGAUUCUGAUGAAUAAAAAUCUUAGCGUUCCAAGUUGACCUUCAAUCGACACACGAAAAACCCUAGAACAUUAUUCUUGUUUAGCCUUCCAAUCUGAGCUCCCCUUCCUUGAAUUGAAUCAUUAAAUAAGGGGCUUUAUCUAAUAGUAUCCAAUUACAAGAGAAUAUUUUUUUUAUGUCUUGUUGAUUUCAUUAAGGAUCAAAAGGGAAGAUGAGUGUGAAGAAUGGGGGAAAUUUUUGGGUCGGAGGUGUUAUGUUUAAUGAAGAGGUAAAAAAGGAUAAAAAGGAGAAUGUGAUGGCGGACUAUUGGUUUUUGAUAAAUGAUGUGCGUGUCUACACCGCAUGUGUAACGACCCGGUCGGUUGUUUUGAGAAUAUUAGCCCCGACCCCCUAUUUUCUGCUUUCCCCAUAUCAUUUUAUGCUUAUGUGACUUGCCGGAAGGAUUUAUUUUUAUUUUUGGAGUGAAAUGGGACAUUUAGUCACUAAAAUAGAAGCUUAAGUUCUAGAAAUUUGACCGUAGUUUGAACUAUGUGAAGAUGAUUCCAGAAUGGAGUUUCGUCAAUUCCGUUAGCUCCGUUGGAUAAUUUUAGACUUAUGAGCAUGUCUGAAUUGUGAUUUGGAGGUACGUAGUUGAAUUGGGCUUGAAACGGUGAAAGUUGGAUUUUUGGAAAGUUUGAUCGGGAGUGAACUUUUUUAUAUCAGGUCCAGAUUCAAACUUUGAAAGUUGAAAUAUGUACGUAAUGUCAAUUAUGACUUGUGUGAAAAACUUGAGGUCAAUCAGACAUGUUUUGAUAGGUUUUGGCAUCGGUUGUAGAAGUUUAAAGUUUCACGUUCAUUAAGUUUGAAUUGGAGUGAAACUCGUGUAUUUGUUAUUGUUUGAUGUAAUUUUAGGGCUCGACUAAGUUUUUGUGAUGUUUUAGGACUUGUUGAUAUGUUUAGUUGAGGUUUUGAGGGCCUCGGGUGGAUUCCGAGUGGUAAACAAGCUAGACCUGGACUUGUUGGAAUUGCAAAAAAUAUGGUGCAUCAGUUGCUGGUUUCCUUCAUCGCGUUCGCGAGAGAGGUUCCAUGUUUACGUACGGCGUCUGGGAGUCCAGCUAGGUUUUUUCUUCACGUUCGCGAUGUGGUACCAACAUUCGUGAAGCUUUGGACCAUUGAGCCUACGUGUUCGCGAUAAGGUCCUUCCGUUCUCGUGGAGCAACGGGCAGAGGGGGUCCCAGGCAUUUAGCCUACGCAUUUGCGAUGAGGGUCCCGCAUUCUUAACAGGUCAGACUAUGUGAGCUUCCGCAUUCCCAAUUGGGCCAUCGCAUUCGCGAAGGAGGUUUUGGACUAAAGGAAUUUUUUAUGCUUCACGAACGCGAGGAAGCUUCCACGUUCGCAAAGAAUGAUUUCACUGGGUAGAUAUAAAUAUUUCAAAUCAAGUGUUUUACCAUUUUUAUCAAAAUUUGAGAUAGAUAGCUCGGAUUUGCAUGAGAUUUUGAGUGAUAUUCAGAGGCAUCAAUUUGAUUUAGGCUAUGCGGAGUUGGGAAAUUGAGAAAAAGGCAUUCUUGCUGAUCGAUUGAGCUUGGAUCGAGGUAAGUGGCUUGCAUAACCUUAUGGGGAUGGGGAAAAUCCCUUAGAAUUUGUUGUGAUACUUCUAUGGUUUGUGAUGCCGUGUAUGCAAGGUGACGAGUGCACACAUGGGCUAAUUGUUGUAAAAUUCAGUUUUCACUGAGCAGUAUUAUGUUACAUCUUAAUUGAGUUAUACAAGCAUGCGUAGUUAUCAUGUUUAGCUAUUACCUUUCUACGUGUUAUUUAAAAUCUAUUCAACAUGCUUAGUUGAUUCCCUUCUUUUUUCUUGAUUUGUAUCAGUCUUAAACUGUAGAGUUCUUGCUGUUAUGUUGUUUCCAUCGGUUUUGGGUUGCGUGUUUACUUUUGGGACUUUGAGGCGGUGCCUUGGGAGAUCCCCUACAUAUUUGCUUUUGGGACUAUGAAGCGGUACCUCGGGAGAUCCCCUUGCAUAUUUACUUUUGAGACUAAGAGACGGUAUCUCAGGGGAUCCCCUGUUGAGCAUUUACUUUUGGGACUGCAAGACAGUAUCUCAAGAGUGCCCCUGUUGUUUACCUCUAUGUGAUAUGUUGUUACUUAUCAAUAAAUUCUCUUUGUUAAUUUCUCAGCCUUUUAUCAUAUUGUUAUAUCUUCUGUCCUAUUAUUAUAACCGAGUAGGGCCCUGACCUGUUGGCCCAAAAACAGGUGAAGUGUUGAAAAAUGACAAAUGAACUCAGUCAUGGACCAUGUCUAUCUUGUUAAGCACAGUCAUGAUCAACCUAUACAUGUGAGAUGCACGUGAAGAAGAUAAGUCCUACUGAUCAAGCAUCAAUAUCUCCUGAUAUGAUCGAAAAGGUUGCAUAUUAGAUAAGGGAAGAAAGUUUCCUUAUAUGAAGAGAACACAAUCCAGGAUAAAGAUGGUGUUAGAGUUUGAGAUCUUCAUGAACUCUUCUACGAUUGAGUCCCAACCAAACUCUGAUUACUAACCUAUUAAAUGACAGUGAUUGUUCUCUUUUACAGGUAAUGCACAUAUACAAAAGUUAAACUAAAUUGAGAGCAAGAGAGAAAGGUGAUUUUACAAGCAAUUUAUGUGUGAUUUGACUGUGCACUCCUGAAGCUACUUGAACGAGAUAGAAGAACCCGUUUCAUUGUGUCUAUCUUUUAUUCUAGUUCAAUUGUUGUAUGUGGUUUAAAGUUGUACCUUUCAGCUUUGAUAGAAGCAAUUAUAUUAGGUACCUAGUAGGGGUGUUCAUCGGGAGGAUUGGGCGGCUUUUUACUCUUAACGGUUUGGCUUAACGGUUAUCGACUUUUAAAUGUAUUCAUCCGUUAGCUACCCGAUAAGAUAUCGGACGGAUUGGUAUCGGAUUAGCUCUUAUCGGGCGGUUACCGGGCGGUUUAUCUGUUUAAACCUAAGGGCUCAAAUGUAUUCUGUCUGCACACUACAUUGUCCAAUGUCCAGUUUAUUUCUACUUCUUUUCCUAUUUCAAUUACAUGAAAAACACUGAAAGAAAUACAGUCCCAUACUUGCUAGUUGUUGAAAAUAGGACCAAGUACAAUUAGAAAAGAUUAUUGAUGUUAGCUUCUGAGUAAUGUGGUAUGUGUAUAUAUAUACGUAUUCAUUGGUGCAGAAAAAUCUACAAUCAUUAAAGUUGGUCAUGAUUCUGCAGCUAAAAAUAUACAAAUUAUUGUCGACGAAGAAAAUAAUAUUAAUGAUCGCAGCUCCAUCCUUGAAAUCCGUGAGUCCAAAAUUAAUACUUCAAAUAUUCUAACUAUAACUAUUCCAGUGUCAGGAUCAGGAUCAACAUCAGGUGCAUUUAGAGAAGUUUCAACUCCAGCAGUUACUGCGGAUAAAGGUAUGUAUCGAUCUGCUAAGCCAAUAAUCUCAUAAGCUCAUAUUACUCUCUUUCUUUUAUUACUUUGAGCUUAAAUGGACCUUAUCAUUAGAUCCAAGCUCAACCUUUAUGAUUUUUAAUGAAUUUAAGAAGGAAAAAAAUUUGAAAAUUUUCUUUUUUUAUCCAGAUUAGUUAGCCACAUGUUCUACUUUCAAUUUGGUGUUUUCCUUAAAACAUAAAAUUGGGUUCCUAAUAUUUUAUAUUUGAUGGAAAAUAACCACUACCUAUCAAAGUAGUAGUUUGUUCCUGAUAUUUUAUAUUUGCGCAGCUGGUGUGUACACUAAUAUCUGAGACGAAGCACGGAUAUGUCACUCAUGAGGGAUGAUCGAUCCACACACAGUAUUUGGUAAUCAGACACUCAAAAUAUAACUUUGUAUUUAAUCUAUUCUGCUCUGGGAGUCUUAGACUCAACAUGUAUUUGACUCUUCAACUCAGAGAUGGAUAAUUAAGCAUCAAAAUAUUCAGAUUUGAGUACUCACUACUCUAGCAUAAAUACAUGUAAAAUGUGCGAGUCUGUUUAAGACUUGUAAAAUAAAUUAUAAGGGCUCAAAUGUAUUCAGAUUUGUAAAAUAAAUUAUAAUGAUUAUCCGGUGAAAAAAUUAUUUCCAGAGAGUAAAUUACUCCAUUUUAAUUUUUAACUAUAACUCUGCAACAUUUUGAUACCUACUUUACAAGAGCUUUGACAUUUUGUCUCAUUUUUUUGUACUGUACACACAAGAAGACGACGAGUACCUGUACCUGGAGAGACGAGGUGGCGACAGGGUGACCGGCGACUGGUGGAAGUAGACGACGACGAGCGAACGGACGCGGAGACUGGAGAGGAUUGGUGGCUGCUGCUUUAACAGUGUUAGGGACUUAGGGUUUCUCAGUUUCUCUAGAGACUAUAUCUCGAAUGAGGCAGAGGAAUUAGACAUUUAGAUUAGGAAAUAGAAAUUAGAAAAUUAGGGGUAAUGGGUAUAGACAGAAGUCACUACUCACUGUCUCACUCAGUCAGAACAAACGGUGGGGGUGGUUUGUUUCUGUAAUUUAUUUUUGUUAUACACUUAUACUUAUUCAUUUUUAAGGUUUUUAGUUUUUUAUAUUUAAUAUAUAUAAUUAUAUAAGNNNNNNNNNNNNNNNNNNNNNNNNNNNNNNNNNNNNNNNNNNNNNNNNNNNNUAACGGCUUAACGGAUUAUCUGUUAAGAAAAUUGAAUAAUCGGUCCCCAAACCGAUAAGCCGUUAAUAAAUAAAAUUCAAUCCGUUCUCUGUGCUUAAGCCGUUACCAUUAAGCCGUUAAGCUUUGGUUCGGUUGGGUUUUCGGUUCGGUUCGGUUUUCGUUUUCGGAUCGGUUUUGAACACCCCUAGUACCUAGAGUGUUCAAGUUAUAGCCAACUUGAAGUUGUCGCAACAGUUGAGGUUAUAUGCCACAACGGGAUUAGUGUUAAUCCUUAGGUUCACAAAGAGUUUUUGUUAAAUGUUGUUUUGACUCAGUGAUUUUAGCGGAAGUUUGGGAAAAUCCUACUGAGUAGUAGGUCGUGGUUUUUUCACCUUUUGAGCAAGGUGUUUUUCACGUAAAAAUCUCUGUGUUCUUUAUUUUUUAUAUUUAUUAUUCCGCAAAUAGUAGUAGUUGGAGCACCUAGAAGAACCAGGUUCUUCUAUAGUUCAGUUAAGCGAAAAUUAGGUAUUAGGGAUCACAUCAUAGUCACUGAUGGAGCAACUACAUAGAAGAAUGUUGAAGGAGUGGAUGUGCCAAAGACAAGAGUUGACUGCACUACUGAAGACCUGAAGAAAUGGGAGAAGAAUGUCAAGGCCAAGAAAUGGCUUGUGUGUGGACUGGAUCUAAACGAUACAGUAGAAUUCAAAGUUGUACAAUUAUUAAGGAAAUUUGGGACACUUUGCAAGUGGCUCAACUCAAGUGAAGAGGUUCAGAGGAACACUGCUAUAUUCUCAAUAUGAGAAUUUCUCCAUGAAGGAAGGAGAAACUAUCCAAGAGAUUUAUACAAGGUUCACCAUAUUGACAUAUGAACUUAAGUCUCUUGGAAGGGUUAUUAUUGAAGAAGACAAAGUUGAGAAGAUUUUGACAAGGGUUCUGCCAGUCUCUUGGGAAAGCAAAAUCAUUGCUAUUCAGGAAUCAAAGAAUAUUGCUAUCCUUAAGCUAGAUGAACUAAAUGGAAACCUCAUUGCAUAUGAACUAAGAAGGCAACCCAUAAAAAUGGAUGCACCCAAAAAGGAAAGAAAUCCAGCUCUAAGAAUUGAUGAAGGUUCAGAUUUGGAGGAUGAUGAAAUGGCUAUGAUCGCAAGAGAUUUCAAUAAGUACCCGAUGAGAGGAAAGGGUUUUUCAAGAGGUACAACCUUCAACAAACCAAGGGCUCCUAAGAAACAGACCAAUAAGGGUUGAUACAAAUAUGGUAAGACUGAUCACAAAAUAAAUAACCGUCCUCAAUAGAAAAUUGAGUGGAAGAAGGAAAGGGCUGAACGAAGGAACAUGUUAAACAAAACGGAAGAAAGGAUCAACAAAGGCUAUGGUUGUUGCAUGGGGAGAAACAUCAGAUGAGGACUCAAAAGAUGAAGCUGUAGAUACAAGCAUUUAUGGACAUCGGAGAAUUAGAUGAUGAACAAGAGGUAAGUAUCCUUCAUCUCAAAGACAAGAUCAAAUUCUUGUCUAAAGAAAGGUUGUCUGAACUACUGCUAGACUUCAUUGAUGAGUCUGAGAUAAUUAACAAUGAGAAGGAAGAUCUGUCUAGGGAAUAUUCCUAUCUAAAGAAAGGUUGUGUGAGCUACUGCUAAAUUUCAUUGAUGAGUUUGAGGUAAUUAACAAUGACAAGGAAGAACUGUCUAGGGAAUGUGUUAUCCUAAUAGCCAAGUGCAAAUAUCUAGAGUCUAGGGCUAAUGAGAGUGAUAGUAAAAAUGCUGAGUUGAAGAACAAGGUUCUUGAACUUGAUACUAGUGUCUUAGAACUUAGUGGCAACAUAUCUCUAUCAAUGAUAACUGUUGUUUUUCUCUUGUUCAAUGAUUAAUCUGUCCUUGACAAUUUAAAUAUGUUUGUUUGAUUACUGAUGGUUGUACCAUGAUUGUACUUGUAGUUUUCCUAGUGUCCAUAAGUACUUGUUAAAAUAUCGGUAUCACACUUCGUAUGUAACUUUUUGAUGAUGCCAAAAGGGAAAGAGAUAUUGUGCUUUAUAUAUUCUAAAAAUAAGUGAUAUUUAUAAACUGAUUAACCUGGUCCUUGAUGAUAGUGAAUUUUUUAAAUUUAGUGUUGAUGGUUAAGUUGAGUUCAUACAGUGUCCAAAUCAAUUAAAAGCAUAGAGUUUGUUAUCAUCAAAAUGGGAGAAUUUGUUGGCCCAAGAACAAGUAAAAUUUUGAAGAAUGACAAAUGAACUCAGUCAUGGACCAUGUCCAUCUUAUGAAGCACGGUCAUGAUCAACAUAUACAUGUGAGAUGCACGUGAAAGAGAUAAUUCCUACUGAUCAAGCAACAAUAUCUCAUGAUAUGAUCGAAAAUGUUGCAUAUUAGAUGAGGGGAGAGUCUCUGUAUUAUAUGAAGAGAACACAAUCCAAGAUAAUAUGGUGUUAGAGUUUGAGAUCUUCAUGAAUUAUUUUGCAAUAGAGUCCAAACCAAACUCUGAUUACUAACCUAUUAAAUGGUAGUGAUUUUUCUCUUUUACAGGUAAUGCACAUACGGAAAAGUUAAACUAAAUUGAGAGCAAAAGAGCAAGGCAAUUUUUCAAGCAAUUGAUGUGUGAUU